AACGAUUUGUCUGCUCCAUAUACCCAUGGGUCGGCUCAGUCUGAAACAGCUUAAAAGGGGAGAAAAACCCUGCAGUAGGUUUCUGCAGAUGUCCUGCAGAGUGUGCUGCACGUGGCUUUGUUUUGUUUUUGACCUCUGACGAUGGGCGACAGAGUACACGGCAUCUUUGAGGAGGAAACUGCUGCUGUUCAGUGUCAGUCACUGAUAUUUCAGAAGUGCUUUCUUUGGGGGAAGUAAAGACAGCAACAAAAAAGGCGAUGAACAGGACUUGUAUCUUCUGCAAGUCUGAAGUCUGCGCCUGUCUAUCAGAACUGUGAGAAGACUGGAUAUAUUCAACAUCCUGGUGGUUCCGUGUUACAGAUUGUCUUGUGCUGGUUCUGGGAAGUCCAAAGUGUCAUUGCUAAAAACUGCCUCCAAUGAGCAUUUCCGUUCUGGGCUACUUGGUUUGCUAAGGAGUACUUUCACAACUCUCCAAACUGUAAACAAGUAUUUGAAAUGGAUUACUAUAGACUUCCUGCCAGAAUGCCCUCCAGCAGUCAGAGCUCUGGAUUAUGAGGCCACCAUCCCAUAUUUGUACUCUGGAGAGAUGAAGUUUGCCACUCUGCCUCACUGAGUCACAUCAUAAGAAUCACCUGUAAAACUUCCAGAUGCAGCAUAUUUGUGGUUUAUCAGUACCAAAAGUGUAAGAAGAUGAUGGGACUGUGAUAAGAACUGAAGAUGUAUUUGAUCAGAAAAAAAUUAUGAAGAUUUUAGAGCUUACAAAGAAAAUGCAAUGCUUUUCUUGGCCCUAUCCACUGAACUGUUUCCCAUAAGAAAACUUCUGCAGCCACAAUGAACUCCACAAGCAUCAGUUGUCUGUGCAUGUUCAAAAAUGUGAGCAUCUUGGCAGAAUGGUGUCCAUUUGAACUCAAGGAUGCGUACAGCUUUUCAAACCAGAGCAGCACCAAAUGGGAGAAGAGCGUGUUACGUAUUUUUGUGUGCACCUAACUGAAACUUUGGUUUAUACUUGUAUCUAGGCCAAGCACAAGAGAAACAUGCCUAUCUUACCUGUUGUGUGCUGUAUUAGUGUGGUCACUGUACUGCAAAUGACCAACUUUUCUUUUCAAUAUUAUCCCUAUAUUCAGUCAUAAUAAAUAAAUAAAUAAACGUUUUGCCACAUCUUCUACUCAAAUUCAUGCAAUAUCUGUGUAUAUAUAAUAUCUGUAUGAUCCAGCUUAAGUUAAUCAGAGUAUAUACAUUAGUGUAUACACUGGUAUGUAUUACGAUUUAUAAUAAACAUCUUUAUAAAUGCGCUGUUGGCCUCUGUAUUUAAUAAAGGCAUGAAAAUACCAAAGUUUGCCUUUUUUUUUUCUCAGUGUUCUGAUCUAGAUAAUUAUGUGACAUUGCAUAUCACCAGCAGAGCACUUCAUAAAUGGCCAGAAUUCAGCCAAAUGGAC
rnacentral:lncRNA from 1 species